UCAUUUUUUUGGAAUGUUUAUUUUUUCUGCAAUUCGAAAUUUGUUUUUUCCUAUUAGUCCUGUCUGUCUAAAUUAUCGUAACAGCAGAGAAGGCGGAGGGAGGCCCCAUAUGAAAGGCUUGCGAGACAAGGAAAGCCUUAAUUUAUAUAAGAAAAUCCUGUUAAUUGGUAUAAUGAAAGGGACUGAGAACCAUGAAAAAUUAUGUAAUGAACCGAAGGAAAAAUAUUGUAUAA
rnacentral:ribozyme from 1 species